UUGUUUUCAAAGCUAAGUAUUAUUUUAUCAUGUUUGUUUUUGUUUAUUGAUUAGCAUAUGUUGUUAUUAUCAUGUUCUGUUUUUAUUUUUAUUAUUGUUAUUAUUAUAACUGUUACGAUUUUUAUUGUUAUUAUUAUUUUUAUUAUUAUCAUCAUUAUUUUUCAGUAUAGUAAACUCAACAAACAAACAGAUGCACAUACUUUUACACACACACGCACUCACACUUACACACACUUAUUAACCUUCAGAGAUCCUUGCCUUUCCUUAUCCUUCGGCAGUUAAUUGACUAGUUCAGAACUCAGGGGUCUUGCCAAGAUGCUACCCUAACAAGACAGUAUUUUUGCAACUUGCCCAGGGUUAUUCUAGUUAAUUACACAGAAUUUAAUUGACCAGCUGGUUACUGAGGCUGUGAUGCCAAUCUUUUUAUCACUGGUAUAGCAUGAAUGGUGCCUCAUAACACCAGUGACCAGGCUUGCCAGAUCUACGGAUUUAUCUGGACACCAAUACGUUAGGGACGACACCGAGAGGUGCACAGCGGGCAAGGUGGAUCGUUCAGAUGGAAAACGACCUACGGAUCCUACGCAGAAUGUAGAGCUGGCAAAUUUCAGUCAUGGACUGAAUGGAAUAGAAACGUCUCUUACGUACAGCAAAGGCUACACCACGGCUUGGGACUGUUUAGUAAGAAUCGGGAUGAUGCUCAGAAGUCACACAGAAGGACACAUUCCCAGACAUUAUUUUGAAAUCCAAAAUAGCGACCAGCGGUUUCUAGAAAACAGCCUAGAACGACAAAAUACAAUCCAAUAUGAGUAUUUUAUCUCUGGGCGUUCUAAGAAAAUUUAUGUAUUUGAAGUGAUUAAUACAUUAUAAGAUGUGAACUGUAACACAAUAUUUGUAAAGUGAGGUGUGCUAAAGAGGAGUGAAGAAAGAGAAAUGAUGCUUAAUUUUGAAUCUUUAACCCCGAGCAACGAAGGGAACGUUCAACUAAUACAUAGUCUCUCCCGAGCUAGGAUUCGAACAUACGACAACUACGAGACCAGCUGGAAGGUAACGAAUCCAUGAAGAAUAAACGAAUAUCAAAUCCAUAGAAUAAAACACAGAACGGAUUAGCCAAUUUAGUUCACAACAUGUCAAAGUAAAUUAAAAAUCCAAAAUCUGAAAAAAUCUGUUAUUAUUUUUCUUGUGUAACGGCCAACGAAUGCUUUUUUUUCUUGAAUAUGUUACAGUAUACGAUUGUUUGUAUAAUUCCAAAGUUUCA